GACGAACGCUGGCGGCGUGCUUAACACAUGCAAGUCGAACGGUAAGGCCCUUUCGGGGGUACACGAGUGGCGAACGGGUGAGUAACACGUGGGUGAUCUGCCCUGCACUUUGGGAUAAGCCUGGGAAACUGGGUCUAAUACCGGAUAGGACUACGCGAUGCAUGUCGUGUGGUGGAAAGCUUUUGCGGUGUGGGAUGGGCCCGCGGCCUAUCAGCUUGUUGGUGGGGUGAUGGCCUACCAAGGCGACGACGGGUAGCCGGCCUGAGAGGGUGUCCGGCCACACUGGGACUGAGAUACGGCCCAGACUCCUACGGGAGGCAGCAGUGGGGAAUAUUGCACAAUGGGCGCAAGCCUGAUGCAGCGACGCCGCGUGGGGGAUGACGGCCUUCGGGUUGUAAUCCCCUUUCAGCACAGACGAAGCGUAAGUGACGGUAUGUGCAGAAGAAGCACCGGCCAACUACGU
rnacentral:rRNA from 1 species